CAUUCGUUUCAUAUCGAAUCUCUUUCUACAAUCGUUAACGCUUCGGCGUAAGCGAUUAUAGAAAACGAUAAGUAGCUAGCCAUAUUGACACGAGUGAUUCGAUCGCUCAUUCUACAAUGAACUUAGAAAAAACCUACACUUCAGUCUAUGGUGAGCGAUCUUUAAAACGUCAAACCAACGUCAAAGUCGCAGUUGUGUACUUUGAGCGCGGGAUCAACUCUUGUUUUGAAUUGAAGUUUGAAGAAUAUUUAUUUGAAGUGUUAAAAAAUAAGUAAAUUAAAUAGGGUGGGUAUACAUUCUCCUUGUAAUUGGUUUAUAACAAUAUCACAGUGCCGAAUGUAAAUUUAAACAUUACUUGUGACUCGAAAUUUUAUUUUAUUAUCCUGCUUAAGUAUGACCGAUACCUUAAAUGAUGUGAUAACUUUUAUAGAAUGAAAUAUAAAUCUCGAGCAAGCCCAGAACAGUUUGCAACUUUACUGGAAUUUAUGGAAAGUUAUGGCGAUAUAACGAGACCCCAGCAAGGGCCACAAGGCCGAAUUAAAGCUGACCGACUGUGGCAGCAAUUAGAAGAGUUAUUAAACUCCAUAGGUGGAGGAGUAGUAAAACCAAGGGACAAGUGGAAAAAAGUAUGGUUCUAAUAAAACCCCCCUAAAAAUAUUAUUUUAUAGUUUUCUAUAAUUAUCAUUCAUUCACUUAAAUAUUAUCAAUCAGCUUAUUUCAAAAAUUAUAAAAUAAUUGAUGAAAAUAUUAAUGACAAAAAUUAACAAAUAAUGUCCAGGUGUGGGCAGACUGGAAAGCUAAAACUAAGAAAAAAGCUUUAGCAAUACGUUGUGAGGCUUCUGGUGCUGGUGGUGGUCCAAGCAGCAGACAAACUCUCACUGCUUCAGAAGAGAGGGUGUUGUGUAUAAUGGGUUUGACUGCUGUUAUUGGUCAAGCUGGAAUUAUAGAGACAGGCUUUGAUGCUAGUUUUUUUUUUUGCUUGGGGUCUUGGCUUAUUAGUGUAUUUUCUUCUUUAAAUAAAAAUUAUCAAGUUGUUCAUAUUUUCAGGCUCAACCAUCACUGAGAAACACUCAACCAUCCCCGACCAGAGUUUCUAAUUGUACGGUCUGUCCACCCCAAAUUUCUACUACAGCCACGGAUGAAAUUAUGUUGGAUUUUAUUCCUUCAUGCUCUAUACAAGCAACAACAUCAGCCUUUACUGCUACCUCAUCACAACAACAUCCACCACCAGUGCUAACGCCGCCGCCCGGCACUACGUCCUCGCCGGUGCCGUCAGCGACGACGCCUGCCGCUUCCACGUCACGGGGUGCUCCUCAACGGCAGUGACAUCAGGCAAAUCUGUCGCCUUCAGCGUCGUUUUUUU